GCACAAGCGGCGGAGCAUGCGGAUUGAUUCGAUGCAACGCGAAGAACCUUACCAAGGCUUGACAUACACCGGUAACGCCCAGAGAUGGGUGCCCCUUUGUGGUCGGUGUACAGGUGGUGCAUGGUUGUCGUCAGCUCGUGUCGUGAGAUGUUGGGUUAAGUCCCGCAACGAGCGCAACCCUCGUCCUAUGUUGCCAGCGGGUCAUGCCGGGGACUCAUGGGAGACUGCCGGGGUCAACUCGGAGGAAGUGGGGAUGACGUCAAAUCAUCAUGCCCCUUAUGUCUUGGGCUUCACGCAUGCUACAAUGGCCGGUACAAAGGGCUGCGAUACCGCGAGGUGGAGCGAAUCCCAGAAAGCCGGUCUCAGUUCGGAUUGGGGUCUGCAACUCGACCCCAUGAAGUCGGAGUCGCUAGUAAUCGCAGAUCAGCAACGCUGCGGUGAAUACGUUCCCGGGCCUU
rnacentral:rRNA from 1 species